GGCAAACCCAACUGCUAUGGGGACUUAAAAAUCUAAUCUGUAAAAAUGAUUUAUGACAUACUGAGACCCUAAUCUUUCACUUUAUGGGCCUCCUGCUGCAGAGGAUGACAUACCCCAGGAGGUGCAUGAGGUGGAAAGUGGGAGUACGGGAGUAAGAGCAACGUGUUUCCAUUUGGGUGUCAAGCAUAAAUCCAAGAAAAACACGCUGGGUGUGACCUACAAGUUCCAGCCAGUAUCCUGUCAUUCCAGUGCACAAUGCAGGGAGGGAGGUGACAAAUCCCUAAGCCACUUUGUGUCAGAGGCAGACACAAAUAGAGUGGCGUUCCAUGUGACAGAUGCUGCACACACAGGGCUGGGUUAAAAAUCAAUGACAGUUCAGUUCAUCUGAUGUUCUAUGCUGUGUUUCUUUAAAAAAAAAAAAAUAAGUGGAAGAAAGAAAUAAAGCAGUUGAAACAAAAA